CUGCCAGGGGACUUUGACCCGGCUCUUACCUCCUCGCCCCGCAGCGCCCCGCACCCCAAACGCUCCUCCAGCCCCGAGGGGCAGCGCUGCGAGCCGGCCACCAGCAUGGCACCGGGACGGGGGCGCGGGCACGGGGCUAGGAGGCUGCCAU